rnacentral:lncRNA from 1 species
UGAGGACCAAAUCCAGAAAAACAAAUGGAAUUUUUUGGCAAAAUUGAAAAAUAAAAACAAAAUAGGAUCCAAUCGUAAACAUCCUCAAAACCGUAAGGACCAGGGGCGCAAAUAACCCCUUUUAUCCAGAAACACGUCAAAAUGACGUCGUUUUGAGGCUUUCUGAACUCCUCCAAAACGGCGCCGUUUUAAUAUCCUAUAUAUUCAAAAAAUUAUCCAAAAAAUUUCAUUUCCCCCCUUUCCAAAAAAAAAAAUCCGGAAAUGCUCUCUCCUCCCCCCUUUCUUCUCCCCAGAAUCCGGCCAACGGUCCGGCCAAGAGCCACCGUACCGGCCGCCGGUCGCCGGCUCCGGCGCACCGUGCACGGCGGCGGGGAGACCAAAAGUCUCCCCCUUUUCUCCGACGCAACCCUCUGAUUCCGAGCACUCCAACGACGACGAAAAACGGUAAAAAUUUCCUUUUUUAUUCUUUUAUUUCGAAUAUAAAUAAUAAAAUAGCAAAAAAAGAACAAAAAGAAAAAAAGAAGGCGACCACCUUAAGACACGAUUUCGGUUCUUUUAUUUCUCAAAAUGUUGUUUUUUUUCUUUUGCUUUUGAUUCACUAGUGUCCCCCCUACAAUGGUUUGCAAUCGGUUUCUUUAUACCGAAAAAAAAAAUGAAAUCCCCCCCUUUUACAAUCUGUUUAAAAAUGGCUUUAUAGCCGAAUAUACAAGCUUUAUUUUUUAAUAUUCUUGUCACUUCAGGUGCAGGCACAAGUGGGCAGGGCAGGUGAGCGGCGGAGUAGGUGGCGGCAGGUAGCAGAAGAGCAGGGGUUUGAAUAAUUGUUUUAGGCCUGAUUUGGAUUUAGGUAAUUGGGCUUAUUGCUUUCUGAUUUGGGCUGUGGCGUAUUGGGCUAGGCUAGUUGGGUCUGGGUCUGUUUUAGGUUAGGUCUGGGUUAUUUGGGCUUGGGCAAAAUUGGGCUGUACAGUGUUUCUAAGAGCAAGGAGGUAGCUCACAGCCCAACAGUCACAAAAUCGCGCUAAGACUGCAAGGUCUUUUCCUAUUGCUACUGUUAGCAGGACCAUCGCGAUGCCCAACCUUCUCACUCAUCUGCCCCUGUUAUUACCCUUACUACUACCAUGUUAUGUUACCUCCUGCAUUAUUAGGAAGACAUAUUCAACCAGGAAAUAGUUUUCUUGGUGCACAAAAAGGCCAACGGUUUAGAGAUCAAACUUAUUUCAGGUAUUGUGACUUUGUUCUAGAACCAAAUAUCCUCUUUGUGUGCAGAAGGUUGUUGUAAACACUGAGGUUUAAGAAUUGUUUUUUUUAAACGAAAAUAAAACACAAAAAACACAUUUUCUCUAACCAAACUGAUCUUUAGUAUUCAAUGAAUUCAAGCUAAAAUUUAUUUUUAUCUUUACAAUCAAUACAUCCAAAUAAUUACCAUCAUAAUUGAUCACAAAAACCAUAAUAAAUUUGAAAAUAGCUCACAUAUAUUAAAACUAAGAAACAGUUCUUACGUAUGCUUCUAACCACUAAGCCAUUAAUUAUUUUUCUUUACAAUAUAACCAAGUGAGGAUUUUUUUUUAAUUUUAAAAUAUCAAAUUUAAUAGAAAAAUUAUAAUGAUGUUAAUAAUUGGACUUGAAAUUUUAACUCUACCUCCUAAGGUGAAGGAUUUCACGUGGAGGUGCAUGAGAAAAUCUAUUCCAUGCAAGGCUUGCUUAUUGCUAAGGGAGUUGUUUUGAAUCCGAGCUGCAACAGGUGUGGGGAGGAGGAAAGUCUCAAACAUGUUUUCCGUGAUUGCGCUACGGUUUGUGAGGUGUAGGAUCGUGCCAGCUUCGGAUGUUGCAUGGAUCGAUGCCUAGCCUAAUUGAAACGGCACUGCUGAG